GCACUUCAGCAAACCCUGUCCUUCUGUCUCAGUGCUGGGUGUGGGUUAAAAAGUGCUAAAAUACCUCAAAGUGUAUCCAGACGAGUCUCCUCCUCCAUUAGAGCUUGUCUCUACAAACUUUGAAACAACC